UGGGGAAUAUUGCACAAUGGGCGCAAGCCUGAUGCAGCCAUGCCGCGUGUAUGAAGAAGGCCUUCGGGUUGUAAAGUACUUUCAGCGGGGAGGAAGGCGAUAGGGUUAAUAACCUUGUCGAUUGACGUUACCCGCAGAAGAAGCACCGGCUAACUCCGUGCCAGCAGCCGCGGUAAUACGGAGGGUGCAAGCGUUAAUCGGAAUUACUGGGCGUAAAGCGCACGCAGGCGGUCUGUCAAGUCGGAUGUGAAAUCCCCGGGCUCAACCUGGGAACUGCAUUCGAAACUGGCAGGCUAGAGUCUUGUAGAGGGGGGUAGAAUUCCAGGUGUAGCGGUGAAAUGCGUAGAGAUCUGGAGGAAUACCGGUGGCGAAGGCGGCCCCCUGGACAAAGACUGACGCUCAGGUGCGAAAGCGUGGGGAGCAAACA
rnacentral:rRNA from 1 species